rnacentral:rRNA from 1 species
GAUGAACGCUGGCGGCGUGCCUAAUACAUGCAAGUCGAGCGAACAGACGAGGAGCUUGCUCCUCUGACGUUAACGGCGGACGGGUGAGUAACACGUGGAUAACCUCCCUAUAAGACUGGGAUAACUUCGGGAAACCGGCGCUAAUACCGGAUAAUAUAUUGAACCGCAUGGUUCAAUAGUGAAAGACGGUUUUGCUGUCACUUAUAGUUGGAUCCGCGCCGCCUUAGCUAGUUGGUAAGGUAACGGCUUACCAAGGCAACGAUGCGUAGCCGACCUGAGAGGGUGAUCGGCCACACUGGAACGGAGACACGGUCCAGAACCCGACGGGAGGCAGCAGUAGGGAAUCUUCCGCAAGGGGCGAAAGCCUGACGGAGCAACGGCGCGUGAGUGAUGAAGGUCUUCGGAGCGUAAAACACUGUUAUUAGGGAAGAACAAAUGUGUAAGUAACUAUGCACGUCUUGACGGUACCGAAGCAGAAAGCCACGGCUAACUACGU